rnacentral:tRNA from 1 species
GGUGGCUUAGUGGUAGAGUGCUUGCCUUGCAUGCAUGAGGCCGUGGGUUUGAUUCCUCAGCACCA